GAAUUUAGGCAAAGCAAUACUGCACAUCAUCUAUAAAAUUCUCAUAAUGUCUCCAUAGGGUGCUGUAGGGAACAAUACGAAUUGAUGGCAACACAAGAUGAUGGCAAGUAGAUGCACAGGCUAAGAUAUAGCUUUCUGUAUUCUUCAGGCCUAUAACAUGGGCUUUGGCUUUGUUUUAUUUGUAUGGGGUUUUGAGGUUGGUUUUAUAGGUACCAUUGGUCCCUCAGACCUUUUAGUGAGACUGAUAGCUGUUUGUGUAUUUAUUCUACAAUCUCUUUAAAAUGUGUAUGAGAUUUUUGUGGAAGUUUUACAUAUAUCAUAAUUUAUUCUAUUGUCCUAGUCUUUUCACUUCUUAAAAUAACUGCUAUUAUGUCAUAUUUUGGAGGGCUGAAUUGUUUUCUGCUUUUUUCCCCUGUUGCAUGAAGAUUAAGUGGACUAUCUUAGUUUCAAGUCAGAUAGUAUUUCAUCAGGACAGCAAAAUGACUGCAAGCAUUCAACCCCUGUGGAUGAAAUCUCAAUCUGCAGCAUUUCUGUCUCCCACAUUGAAAACACAAUUACUUAGAUCCUUGUAGAUGGGCUUUAAAACUGGGCGUAAUCCAGUGGUGAAUGAAAUGCAGAACCAUACAAAUCAGUGACAUUUAGCCUAACCACACAUCAGUCCAGGUGGCAAGAUAAAUUGGUACUCAACUGUUUCCAGCCCAUUUUCCUGGUUAGCACUCCUAAUACAAGAAACAGUUUUGGCACCUCCAGUGUGAUUUUUGUGCAUGUGCACACAGUUGUGGAAACACACUUUAUUCUGUAUUCAAAUUUUCUGGUUCAGGUAAACUUCUAAAGCACUUGAAUUUCAUUUCACACUCCUCUUAAAAACAGUUGUACUUUCUGGAAAGAGAGCACCUUUGCCUUUCAUCCUUUCUCCUCUCAUUUGUGUGAAGAAAUUGUAUCACUCAGUUGUGACAUUUCAGUAGUGGAUGCUUACAACCAUUUAAACUGAAAGCAUAUUUUUAUGAAGUAAAACCUAGAUAUAUUUACUUGUCAACAGAUAUCUCUAUAACUUCCAUAAAGAGGACUGAAUUAUAAAAAUAGUAAAAUAUGUGAAGCAUUUAGAUGUUUCUGAAAUCUAUGCUUCAAAAAAGAGCAAGAGCCAGCAAUCCCUUGUGCCAACCUCUUUUAUCUCUUGCAAAGCCUUUUCUCAUUUAUUGUAAUGCUUAACAAUUCCAUUUCACAGUGUGCUUUAGAUUCCUAACAGAAAAAAAAAAAAAUUACUUAAGAAAAAACAACUUGCAAAUCCAAGACCAGUUUCUGUUUCUGUAUGGUUCUAAAUGAAGCCUUACUAUUUCUUUACUAAUGAAAAUCUUUUCCACAUGGAAUAAACUCUUAGUUCUUAGCAUCAUUAGUAAUGCUUAAAAAAAAGUAUUUAAAAUGGUUCAGUUGCCAACUGCCUUUGACUGUCUCAAUAAGACAUUGAAACAGACCUUCUGCUCUAAAUUAAUAAGGCCAAUCACAGUUACCCAAAGCCCAGAAUGACCGAUCAUUCUUCUGGUGUCAUCGCUAUCUUUACUGAGGUCAGAUAAAUCACUUUCAAGCUGUUAAAUCAAUGAUCGUAAAUUAGGGCUCUGUUUUUACAGCACCUUGUGGGAAAUUCUCAUGGUUAAAUUAAUCUAACAGCUGCAGUGAAGAGCACUUCCCACAAGAUCAUGUCAAAAGUUCUCCCCCUACAUACCACUUUUUUUUUUAAGGGAAAAAAAGGACUGAAUUAUUUGUUUUUACCUAGCACACAAAAUGGAAUCCCUCUAUCUAUCCCUGCUAAUUCAUGUUUCAAUUGUACCCAGCUGUUUAAAUUGCACUGUGCAGAGAUUGCCUUGAUCCCCAGGUGCUGGUACUCCAUCUGUGCUGCUCUGAGAGACUAUUUACAGCCGAGGUUAGGCCAGUGAUUGCUGGGAUGGAAAACUCAUUUCUCAGCCUGGCUUUUAUUUACACUCUUAUUAAAGAUCCUUUCACUCAUGUUGGAAUGGCAGCUAGUGGCUGCAGUAAGCGUUUGGCAUUGAGCCAAGCAGCAAAAUUACCAUGUCGAUGAAAGAUAGCCUGCUUCCAUUUUAACCUUUCACUGUUCCCCCUUUCCAUCUAUAUUUGCAUGAAGAAGGAUGAUUAUUGAAAGAGAUAGGGGGACAAAGGGAUGAGAGAAUCCUUGUCAACUGAGCUUUUCAAGGGAUAAACCAAUGGUUUGUGAUCAAUUUUGAGAAAUCUUUACUGCCUUGCUAAUUUCCUACUCCUUUCUCUUAAUUGCUAUUAGACUUUAUUUUUACAGAGCUCAUGCUCUGCUCACAUCCUUCCCCCACUGCUACCCUGUGCCUUGUGAACACAACCCUGGAUACGUCUGCGAUGUUGAGGUUUGUACUUCAUCCCCAAUGCAGGUCACACAGAGCCAUAGCAACACCCUCAAAGCAUUUUUCUCCUACAAAUAUGCCUCUGAGAAAUGAAUCACUUUCUUGGGACCAAGCAGCUCAUUGCACACAGCAUGUUAUGUUACUGGAGAGGGCAAGGGAGAGUAUGACCAGUGGGUGGGGGAGGCAGGCAUGCAGUCAUCACACUAUGGCCCUAGAUACAUUUAAAAAAUAAAUAUUUCUCCAGAGACCUCAGCACUUUUGUUUUUAAGAACACAGGACUGGUGAUAAGGAAAUCCACCUCAGAUGUUGGGAGACAACAACCAACAUUUUUAAGUGCCAACUAUAGCCCAGCACAACAAGCAGGAGACCUCAAACCCUCAAGCCUCUCUAUCAAGCUCUGUUUGUGAGGCAGCCCAUGACUGGAAGUGCAACAGCUAUGGUGGUUCUUGACUGCUAGCAAAGCCACAUUUUUCUCUCUUCUCCUGCUUCCAGAGCAAGAGAGAUGGGUCUAUUUCCAUUUUUCCUUAGUGUAGGAGCACUGACUCUACUGAGAGGUUUACAAGGGUUGGUGUUCUUCCUUCUGAGCCUUGGUUUUGGUAGUGGGCAAAUAGAAGCAUUCAUCCCCUUCCCCAACAAAAAAAGAGGCUAUUUUCUGAGGGAUUUAACUCUUUACUUAGAUGUUUAUGUCAUCUGUUGUUUAGGCACUACUUAACCUUGCAGGUCCCCAAGAAAUGUAGGCUCCACUCAUCACCAGGAGGCUGCUGGUGAUCAGGGGCAGGAGAGAGGCUGACAGUGAGAACACAACUCGACCUGGGUCCAGCCACUGCAGAGAAGUCAUAUGGCAGUGCCUCAGAUGAAAAACAAACACUGUGUAGGCUGAUUCACCAGGACUCACCAGAUCAUGGUCUGAGAAGUCACCCAUCAGUUUGCUUCCCACCAAGUCAUGCCAUCUGCUAACCCCUCUCUUCAGGGGUACAUUUAAAAAACACUCCUGAAUGA